rnacentral:rRNA from 1 species
AUUGAACGCUGGCGGCAGGCUUAACACAUGCAAGUCGAGCGGAUGAACGGUGCUUGCUCCUGGAGUCAGCGUCGGGCGGGUGAGUAUUGCCUAGGAGUCUCCCUGCUUUUGGUUUGUAAUGUCUUCAGGCGGGCGCUGCUACCGCAUACUUCCUGCGCCAGAAACUGGGUGAGCUUCGGAACUCAUGCUAUCAGAUGACCCUAGGUGGGAUUUGCUAGUUGGUUGGGUGAAUGCCUGCCUAGGCGGCGAUCGGUAACUAGACUGAGAGUAUGGUCAGCCGCACUGGAGCUGAGACAGGGACAAGACUACUAAGAGACGCAGCAGUGGGGAAUAUUAGACAAUGGGGGAGAGCAUGAUCCAGCCAUGCCGCGUGUGUGACGAAGAUCUUCGGAUUGUAAAGAACUUUAAGUUGGGAGGAACGGCAGUAAGUUAAUACCUUGCUGUUUUGACGUUACCAGCAGAAUAAGCACCGGCUAACUUCGUG